rnacentral:sRNA from 1 species
UGCCCCUGAACGGCGUCCCGGCAGGACUC